rnacentral:lncRNA from 1 species
UUACGUCACAAACAUAAACAAAACAAAUAGACAUGCGGAAAUGGGAUCUAAAGCGAAGGCAGGGAGGAGCUAGGCGGAAGGAAAGAGGAAGAAAAAGAAUUAAGAUAUGUGAGCUCUGGGAUCCCUCUUUUCCGGGUGUCUUUAGUUGCUCGGUCGCGGCUGCUUCCGUGUCCAGAAUCGAUUCAAAAUGUUCGCCUGUCAUUUUGACUCUGGGAAGCAGCCGAUGUCAAGGCGCUAGAUCCCGCGAACGAGACUCAUGA